AAUCAACGCUGGCGGCGUGCCUAACACAUGCAAGUCGAGCGCGAAAGGGGGCAACCCCGAGUAGAGCGGCGAACGGGUGAGUAACGCGUGGGUGAUUUGCCUCCGAGUGGGGAACAACACCGGGAAACGUGGUGCUAAUACCGCAUGACAUCCUCGGGUCGUACUGGGGAUCAAAGCUGGGGACCGCAAGGCCUAGCGCUUGGAGAGAAGCCCGCGUCCGAUUAGCUAGUUGGUGGGGUGAUGGCCUACCAAGGCGACGAUCGGCAGCCGGCCUGAGAGGGCGGACGGCCACACUGGGACUGAGACACGGCCCAGACUCCUACGGGAGGCAGCAGUGGGGUAAUUUUUCGCAAUGGGGGAAACCCGUAGACGAAGCAACGCCGCGUGGAGGAUGAAGGCCUCGGUCGU
rnacentral:rRNA from 1 species